UGAAGGUGCAGCCUCAGUAGCUGUUGAAGGCCAGAUAGACUGAAGGAGUCAUGAAGAGAAACCGAGGCUCGGCAUCAUGAAUAAAUCCUAGGACAUUGGUAAAAGCACAGCCCAGUUGCAGUCAAAGAUCCCAGCAUUGUGGAGAUGCCAGUACCUUGGCAUGAUCACCAAGAGCAGCAGUGGCCAUAGAAUGGCGCCUACCCGAGCUUAGAGGACAAGCUGUGUGUGCUACAGAGGAGCUGGAGAAGUGGCCCAAGCCCCUUGUAGGAGGCCAGAAGAUGGUUAGUGAAUCCCAGAUAUGCAUGCUGUUUUCUUGGAACACAAAGCCAUCUCUCUGAGUGAUCAAGCAGAGGGAAGACUUUGAAGGGAAGACUGUCCACGAGCUCCUAGUUUCCUUCUUCCCCGAAAAGCUUUGUCGUUUUCAAUGCACUUUACUUUAAAACACUUGUCCCCU
rnacentral:lncRNA from 1 species